rnacentral:rRNA from 1 species
AACGAACGCUGGAGGCAUGCCUUAUACAUGCAAGUCGAACGCGAAAGUACCUUCGGGUAUCAGUAGAGUGGCAAACGGGUGUGUAAUGCGUGGGAAUAUACCUUAUAGUACGGAAUAGCCUCGGGAAACUGGGAUUAAUACCGUAUACGCCCUUAGGGGGAAAGAUUUAUCGCUAUAAGAUUAGCCCGCGUCAGAUUAGCUAGUUGGUGGGGUAACGGCCUACCAAGGCAACGAUCUGUAGCUGGUCUGAGAGGAUGACCAGCCACAUUGGGACUGAGAUACGGCCCAAGCUCCUACGGGAGGCAGCAGUAGGGAAUAUUGGACAAUGGGGGAAACCCUGAUCCAGCAAUGCCUCGUGAGUGAUGAAGGCCUUAGGGUUGUAAAGCUCUUUUAGUGGGGAAGAUAAUGACGGUACCCACAGAAAAAGCACCGGCUAACUCCGUGCCAGCCGCCGCGGUAA